UACGGGGGGGGCAAGCGUUGUUCGGAAUUACUGGGCGUAAAGGGCUCGUAGGCGGCCAACUAAGUCAGACGUGAAAUCCCACGGCUUAACCGUGGAACGGCUGGGUAUACUGGCGGUCUUGAGCCACCUAGGGGCCUGCGGAACAAGCGGUGGAGCGGUGAAAUGCGUAGAUAUCGCUUGGAACGCCAAUGGUGAAAACAGCAGGCUGGGGGUGUGCUGACGCUGAGACGCGAAAGCCAGGGGAGCAAACGGG
rnacentral:rRNA from 1 species